UACGGGGGGGGCAAGCGUUGUUCGGAAUUACUGGGCGUAAAGGGCUCGUAGGCGGCCAACUAAGUCAGACGUGAAAUCCCUCGGCUUAACUGGGGAACUGCGUCCGAUACUGGAUGGCUUGAGUUCGGGAGAGGGAUGCGGAAUUCCAGGUGUAGCGGUGAAAUGCGUAGAUAUCUGGAGGAACACCGGUGGCGAAGGCGGCAUCCUGGACCGAUACUGACGCUGAGGAGCGAAAGCCAGGGGAGCAAACGGG
rnacentral:rRNA from 1 species